rnacentral:piRNA from 1 species
UUAGAUGUGAAGCAGAACGCCAAGGGC